AUACGGAGGGUGCAAGCGUUAAUCGGAAUUACUGGGCGUAAAGCGCGCGUAGGCGGUCUAUUAAGUCAGAUGUGAAAUCCCAGGGCUCAACCUUGGAACUGCAUCUGAUACUGGUAGACUAGAGUUUUGGAGAGGGAAGUAGAAUUUCAGGUGUAGCGGUGAAAUGCAUAGAGAUCUGAAGGAAUACCAGUGGCGAAGGCGACUUCCUGGCCAAAAACUGACGCUGAGGUGCGAAAGCGUGGGUAGCAAACGGGAUUAGAAACCCUAGUAGUCC
rnacentral:rRNA from 1 species